rnacentral:RNase_MRP_RNA from 1 species
GGGCGUUCUGAAGACCUGCUCUCUAGGCCACAUACUGAGGACGCUGGUUCCUCCAAGGGCUCCCGAGCCCGCCUAGGGGAAAGUCCCCGGACCCCGGGCAGAGAGUGCCGCUCGCUCCGCAGCGUGCAGUGACCCGCCUCGCCGGCUCACGUUCUCCCCGCCGAGAAGCCCUUCGGGCUGAGCGGGUGGGCGCGGGAUGGGCUGCCCGUCACUCCUACAGGAACGCAGGUAGUGCGCAGGCGUGUUUCCCUCCGGGGGCUGCCGCCGCCGCACCAACAGAACGGGGCUCAUUCUCAGAAUGCC